GCUACGGGUGGCAGCAGUAAGGAAUAUUGGUCAAUGGACGCAAGUCUGAACCAGCCAUGCCGCGUGGAGGAUGAAGGUCCUCUGGAUUGUAAACUUCUUUUAUUGGGGAAGAAACUCCCGAUUUCCAUCGGGAUUGACGGUACCAGAUGAAUAAGCACAGGCUAACUCCGUGCCAGCAGCCGCGGUAAUACGGAGGGUGCAAGCGUCACUCGGAUUAACGGGGGCGAAAGGGUGCGGGGGAGGGCAGGGAGAAAUCUCCGGGCUUAACCCGGAAACUGCCAUUGAUACUAUUUGUCUUGAAUACUCUGGAGGUGAGCGGAAUAUGUCAUGUAGCGGUGAAAUGCUUAGAUAUGACAUAGAACACCCAUUGCGAAGGCAGCUCACUACGGAAAUAUUGACGCUGAGGCACGAAAGCGUGGGGAUCAAACAGGAUUAGAUACCCCGGUAGUC
rnacentral:rRNA from 1 species